rnacentral:rRNA from 1 species
GAGUUUGAUCCUGGCUCAGGACGAACGCUGGCGGCGUGCCUAAUACAUGCAAGUCGAGCGAGCUUGCCUAGAUGAUUUUAGUGCUUGCACUAAAUGAAACUAGAUACAAGCGAGCGGCGGACGGGUGAGUAACACGUGGGUAACCUGCCCAAGAGACUGGGAUAACACCUGGAAACAGAUGCUAAUACCGGAUAACAACACUAGACGCAUGUCUAGAGUUUGAAAGAUGGUUCUGCUAUCACUCUUGGAUGGACCUGCGGUGCAUUAGCUAGUUGGUAAGGUAACGGCUUACCAAGGCAAUGAUGCAUAGCCGAGUUGAGAGACUGAUCGGCCACAUUGGGACUGAGACACGGCCCAAACUCCUACGGGAGGCAGCAGUAGGGAAUCUUCCACAAUGGACGAAAGUCUGAUGGAGCAACGCCGCGUGAGUGAAGAAGGGUUUCGGCUCGUAAAGCUCUGUUGGUAGUGAAGAAAGAUAGAGGUAGUAACUGGCCUUUAUUUGACGGUAAUUACUUAGAAAGUCACGGCUAACUACGUGCCAGCAGCCGCGGUAAUACGUAGGUGGCAAGCGUUGUCCGGAUUUAUUGGGCGUAAAGCGAGUGCAGGCGGUUCAAUAAG